rnacentral:rRNA from 1 species
AGUGGACGCUGGCGGUAGGCCUAACACAUGCAAGUCGAACGGCAGCACAGUAAGAGCUUGCUCUUACGGGUGGCGAGUGGCGGACGGGUGAGGAAUACAUCGGAAUCUACUUUUUCGUGGGGGAUAACGUAGGGAAACUUACGCUAAUACCGCAUACGACCUACGGGUGAAAGCAGGGGAUCUUCGGACCUUGCGCGAGUGAAUGAGCCGAUGUCGGAUUAGCUAGUUGGCGGGGUAAAGGCCCACCAAGGCGACGAUCCGUAGCUGGUCUGAGAGGAUGAUCAGCCACACUGGAACUGAGACACGGUCCAGACUCCUACGGGAGGCAGCAGUGGGGAAUAUUGGACAAUGGGCGCAAGCCUGAUCCAGCCAUACCGCGUGGGUGAAGAAGGCCUUCGGGUUGUAAAGCCCUUUUGUUGGGAAAGAAAAGCAGCAGGUUAAUACCCCGCUGUUCUGACGGUACCCAAAGAAUAAGCACCGGCUAACUUCGUG